rnacentral:lncRNA from 14 species
GAGGCUGGUCUGCAGCAAGAGGAUCAGCUCCAUCCGCUGGGGGAACAACGGGAGCUGCAUUCUCAUUGCAGAGGAUCUCUUCCAGCGGGAAGUGCUGCGCAGGAAGGCAGCACGCAGGGUCCUCAUGGCUCGGAACAUGAGCAGCUUCCUUGGCCAGCUCCACGUCCACGGCUUCCGUAGGAUGCCGGAGGAUCUGAUCCUGGCCACCCCCAUCUGGGAGCUGCAGGCGAUAGCAGCGGCGGGGCCUGCUCUGGGACAGCUGCUCUUCUACUACCACCCGCACUUCCAGGAAGACUCCCCCAACCUCCACAAGAUCGAGACGGAGGCAGAAGCUGCUAUGGAGCAGCUGAGAGCGGCCACUGCAGCUCCCGUGGGUCUCAACGUCAGGGACACCAGGCAGGGGAGAUGCCAACCUGGUGCUGAGCAUGGUGCAGGAGCUGCAGAGGGGCAGCACAAAACCCAGCCCUGCACAGUCACCUGCUCCACAGGCACCAGGCGGGGGGCUGAGGCCACUGUGUUAACAGACACUGCUGGCCCAUCUGCCCCAAAACGCAGGCGCAGGUAGAUAAGAACAGCCAUAGGUUAGAGAUAGGUUACAGGUUAGUCUAGGAGUAAGUAAGUGUUGUUGGUAUUUCCAUAAAUUAUAGGUUACCAUAGGAAUAAGUGUUGUUGCAGGGGUUUCAAUAGGUUAUAGGUUUUUAUAAGGGUAAAUAGCCCUGUUGUUUGCUGUUCGACAGAAAGAUUUUUCUUAGAAUCAUAGGAUAGGUAUAGUUUUAGUUAUAGGAUAGUUAGGGUUGGAAAGGAUCUUAAGAGCUCCAAGCUCCCUGCCAUGGGCAGAGACACUUCACACGAGACCAUGUCUCCCAAGGCUCUGUCCCACCGGGAGUUGGACACUGCCAGGGAUGCAGCAUUUACCACUUCCCUGGGCACCCUGUGCCAGCGCCUCGGCAUCCUCACAGGGAAGAACUUCUACCUCAUUCCUCAACUGAACUUCUCGUGUUCCAGUGCGCAAACCCAUCACCCUUGUCCUAUCGCUGCAGUCCCUGAUGAAGGAUCCCUCUCUGGCACACUCAGAGGCCCC